UACGUAGGGUGCAAGCGUUAAUCGGAAUUACUGGGCGUAAAGCGUGCGCAGGCGGUGAUGUAAGACAGAUGUGAAAUCCCCGGGCUCAACCUGGGAACUGCAUUUGUGACUGCAUCGCUGGAGUGCGGCAGAGGGGGAUGGAAUUCCGCGUGUAGCAGUGAAAUGCGUAGAUAUGCGGAGGAACACCGAUGGCGAAGGCAAUCCCCUGGGCCUGCACUGACGCUGAGGCGCGAAAGCGUGGGGAGCAAACAGG
rnacentral:rRNA from 1 species